rnacentral:sRNA from 1 species
UGUAUGUUCAUUUUAAGCUCUGAUAUUCUGUAUGUUCACUUCAAGCUCUGAUAUUCUGUAUGUUCAUUUUAAGCUCUGAUAUUCUGUAGGUUCACUUCAAGCUCUGAUAUUCUGUAUGUUCACUUCAAGCUCUGAUAUUCUUUAUGUUCAUUUCAAGCUCUGAUAUUCUGUAUGUUCAUUUUAAGCUCUGAUAUUCUGUAUGUUCACUUCAAGCUCUGAUAUUCUGUAUGUUCAUUUUAAGCUCUGAUAUUCUGUAUGUUCACUUCAAGCUCUGAUAUUCUUUAUGUUCAUUUUAAGCUCUGAUAUUCUGUAUGUUCAUUUUAAGCUCUGAUAUUCUGUAUGUUCACUUCAAGCUCUGAUAUUCUGUAUGUUCAUUUUAAGCUCUGAUAUUCUGUAUGUUCACUUCAAGCUCUGAUAUUCUUUAUGUUCAUUUUAAGCUCUGAUAUUCUGUAUGUUCAUUUUAAGCUCUGAUAUUCUGUAUGUUCACUUCAAGCUCUGAUAUUCUGUAUGUUCAUUUUAAGCUCUGAUAUUCUGUAUGUUCACUUCAAGCUCUGAUAUUCUGUAUGUUCAUUUUAAGCUCUGAUAUUCUGUAUGUUCAUUUCAAGCUCUGAUAUUCUGUAUGUUCAUUUUAAGCUCUGAUAUUCU